CCGCGGCGCUAGGCCCGGGGCUCUUGGAGUAUCGCCGGGGGCGCGACAGCGUCAGACUCGGGAGACCUGGAAUGCGGUCACGUGACGACGGAAGCCGGGCAGAGGGGCCAAGUGGAGCGAUCCCCGCCGGAGCCCAGCCCCGGGGCUGCUCUACUGAGCAGGACUCCCAGGGGCUGGCAGGGCAAGCCCAGCCCUUUUGGAUAGCUCGGGAAACCUCUGGCAGGACACCAGGAGUAGCAAGAGCCUAGACGCUAAGGAGUGGGAGCCACGAAAGAGAGCACCGAGUGCUGAGCCUGAAGGUUCCGCGUCUCCAAACCAAGGACUUACUGAGCACCUACUGUAUGGAAGGCUCUGCUGGAUUUUUUAAUUAAAUUUUAAAAUUUAA